rnacentral:rRNA from 1 species
UACAGAGGGUGCGAGCGUUGUUCGGAAUUAUUGGGCGUAAAGGGCGCGUAGGCGGCGCCACAAGUCACUUGUGAAAACUCUGGGCUCAACUCAGAGCCUGCAAGCGAAACUGUGGUGCUGGAGUAUGGGAGAGGUGCGUGGAAUUCCCGGUGUAGCGGUGAAAUGCGUAGAUAUUGGGAGGAACACCAGUGGCGAAGGCGGCUCACUGGACUGGUACUGACGCUGAGGCGCGAAAGCGUGGGGAGCAAACAGG